UUGUCAGCAGGGAGUUUGUCUCAUUCAUCCUUAACAGCAAUAACUGCCAUUUGCUGAGCAAUUUCUACCUGUCUUCUGUGCUCCUUGUCCUGGGAGGCAAGUGUGAAGAUUACACAUCUCUGCUCACUCCCCUUGCCACAGAGAGCAGAAACAUGACUAGUGGAGCCAAUGCGGCAGUGAGCAGCAGGGAUCCUGUCAUUUCUGAGCUGAAGCAUUUCAAUGUUUGUUUAGAACCCUCCACCAUUCUCGCCUGCCACAUGGACUGAGGAGGCUGUGUGUUCCAGAUGGCAAAGCCACAGGGUGGUGGUGUCUCUGUCUGUGUGGAUCACUGAGCCAGGCCAUGAAGUGAAGCUGCCUUAGAAGUUACCCAGGCCUGCAGCAGGAGCUGAAAUUCAACAUAUUGCCCUAAGAAGCAUCCAGAGCAAUUGUGUAUCUGCAGAUGCUUAUUGUGUCGACUGGGAGAUGGGGUGAGAGUGGAGGCUUUUCUUCCUGUUGAAAGAAGAAAGAAGGUUGUUGGCAUCUGGACUCAUGAUCCACACCGCCUAGGGUCAGAGAUGCAGGGAGCUGGCCAAAACGCCUUUCUCUGUGAUAAAGAGGCCACAGCGUUAAAUCCCGUGAGUUCAUCAACAGGACACACGCCUUAGGAGCCAUGGACAGCCACGUAAGAAGUCCAGCCCCCUGAAGAUGCCCGGCUGCCAGCACCAUGCAGAGACCACAUAGAGAUGGAGAGAAAUCGCAAGAAGCCCCAGCUGCUCCAGCUCCAGCUGCCUGAGGCUUUCCAGCCCAGACACCAGACAUGUGGAUGGGGAAGGCUUUGCUGGGACUCCAGCUGCAACUGCAGGAGAGACCCCAUGCAAGAGCCACCCAGCGGAGCCCAGCCAACCCCCAGAACCUGGAAAGAUAUAAUAAAUGAUUAUCGUUGUUUGAUGCCAAUAA